UCCACCUCUUAAAGGCUCACCAUCCCCAGUAACUCUAUGGGCUGGGAACCACAACUAUAACACACAAGCCUUUGGGGGACAGUCAAGAUCCAAACUACUGCAAGGAGCAUCAUCUUCACUGAAAAUGUUCUAUUUUCCUGUGAUUACAGGAGACAAUUUCUCCCAACAAGGGGAAGUCGGUGGCAAGGAAAUGAUCCUAAAAUGUGUGCAUCAUGGAGGGGAGGGUAGACAGGAAGAGUGAAAUCUUGGUGCUUAUACUGACUGUGCGGUGGCAAGCAAGGAGCCGUCAAACCAUGAAAAUACAUGGAGGAAACAAAUGCAGAUUAUAAGUGAAAAAAGCCACUCUGUGUGAUUCCAACGAACUGGCAUCUGGAAAAGGCACAACUAUGGAGACAGAAGAUCAGUGGUUGCCAAGGGUUAAGGGCGGGGAGGAGACUAGAUGGAGCUCAGAGGAUUUUUAAAGCAGUGAAACUACUCUUCAGACACUGGGACUGAUUUUCCAUCUGGCCUAACCAGAGCCUGAGGUGACUGAAUCCAGUGGAGCCAAUAGGUUCGACUUGAGCUUGCUUUAAAGCAUGCUUAGAACAGGRAAAGACAAAUUGGCUCCUUUCUGAAAGGCCUAUGGAGCAGAAGCCUGCUUCUCCCUCCCCAGACCACAGCCUUGAAAGAGAAAACAUCCUGUUCUUCCAACUCCUGGGAAGCCAUUGCAGUGGAGCAAGAGGCUCGGUGGCCGUCUCCCACUCAAGAAGCUCACUGAUUGGCAGCCUUAAGGGCCGGGACCUUGUCAGGCCGAGCUGAUUCCCAUCCCAGGUCCUGGGGUGCCAGGCAGGGUUAGAUAAGGCUGGGCUUAUCCACUCAGCUCCAACAGCCCCGGAGAAAACAAAAGAGCAGCACAAAGUUUCCACACUUGGGAAGAAGUCAAGGUUAGCAAAGCACUAGACCCAGGUAUCUGGCCUCUAGAGGUGACAAAGGGACCUUACAACUGAAAGUAACAAGACCAGGUGGGGUCAGGGACACUCUUGGAGUGCUGGUAACCAGAGGCAGGAUAGGCUCAGGAGAGGCAGCCCUUGCCCGCAUGCCCUGUAGACUAUCCCACACAGCUGCCACCUAGAGGAGAAGGGAGACAAGAGAGCAAAACCAGAAUUAGCUGAAUUUUAAGAUGAAAAGACUGAGAAAACACAGAGGAUUUCUAGAAAGAAUCAGGGUCGCAUGGUAGUAAGUGGAUUAUGCAGCAUUAGGAAAAAAUAAUGUUAUAUAUUUCUUGCACACACUAGUUUGUGGCUUAGGAAAAUUCAAACAUGCUUAUAAACSUGCCAAUGCCUUGCCCUGUCUGCCAUACCAUGCAGAGAGAAGGGGCUGUUUGGGGUGAGUGUGUCUCUCAGAAAUUUAAGAGACAGCUAGAAUCGCAAGGCAGAAAGUGAUCGUACCUGAAAGUCUUCUAGAACACAGUUCAGAAAAUAUUAUUUUUU